rnacentral:rRNA from 1 species
GACGAACGCUGGCGGCAUGCCUAAUACAUGCAAGUUGAACGAUGAUAUUCUCUGCUUGCAGAGAAUUGAGGAGUAGCGAACGGGUGAGUAACACGUGGGGAACCUGCCCAUGAGAGGGGGAUAACAUUCGGAAACGGAUGCUAAUACCGCAUAAUGCUUUGGACCGCCUGGUCCAGAGACGAAAGACGGCUUUUGCUGUCACUCAUGGAUGGCCCCGCGCCGUAUUAGCUAGUUGGUGAGGUAAUGGCUCACCAAAGCAGUGAUACGUAGCCGACCUGAGAGGGUGAUCGGCCACACUGGGACUGAGACACGGCCCAGACUCCUACGGGAGGCAGCAGUAGGGAAUCUUCCACAAUGGGCGAAAGCCUGAUGGAGCAAUGCCGCGUGAAUGAAGAAGGUCUUCGGAUCGUAAAGUUCUGUUAUUAGAGAAGAACAAGUCAAGGAGUAACUGUCUUGACUUUGACGGUACCUAACCAGAAAGUCACGGCUAACUACGUG